CCAACAGGGAUUGCCCUAGUAACGGCGAGUGAAGCGGCAACAGCUCAAAUUUGAAAUCUGGCUCUUUUAGAGUCCGAGUUGUAAUUUGCAGAGGGCGCUUUGGCUUUGGCAGCGGUCCAAGUUCCUUGGAACAGGACGUCACAGAGGGUGAGAAUCCCGUACGUGGUCGCUGGCUAUUGCCGUGUAAAGCCCCUUCGACGAGUCGAGUUGUUUGGGAAUGCAGCUCUAAAUGGGAGGUACAUUUCUUCUAAAGCUAAAUAUUGGCCAGAGACCGAUAGCGCACAAGUAGAGUGAUCGAAAGAUGAAAAGCACUUUGGAAAGAGAGUCAAACAGCACGUGAAAUUGUUGAAAGGGAAGCGCUUGCAGCCAGACUUGCUUACAGUUGCUCAUCCGGGUUUCUACCCGGUGCACUCUUCUGUAGGCAGGCCAGCAUCAGUUUGGGCGGUAGGAUAAAGGUCUCUGUCACGUACCUCCUUUCGGGGAGGCCUUAUAGGGGAGACGACAUACUACCAGCCUGGACUGAGGUCCGCGCAUCUGCUAGGAUGCUGGCGUAAUGGCUGUAAGCGGCCCGUCUUGAAACACGGACCAAGGAGUCUAACAUCUAUGCGAGUGUUUGGGUGUCAAGCCCGAGCGCGUAAUGAAAGUGAACGGAGGUGGGAACCCGCAAGGGUGCACCAUCGACCGAUCCUGAUGUCUUCGGAAGGAUUUGAGUAAGAGCAUGGCUGUUGGGACCCGAAAGAUGGUGAACUAUGCUUGAAUAGGGUGAAGCCAGAGGAAACUCUGGUGGAGGCUCGCAGCGGUUCUGACGUGC
rnacentral:rRNA from 1 species